rnacentral:rRNA from 1 species
ACUGAACGCUGGCGGCAGGCCUAACACAUGCAAGUCGAACGGUAGCACAGAGAGCUUGCUCUCGGGUGACGAGUGGCGGACGGGUGAAUAAUGUCUGGGAAACUGCCCGAUGGAGGGGGAUAACUACUGGAAACGGUAGCUAAUACCGCAUAACGUCGCAAGACAAAAGUGGGGGACCUUCGGGCCUCACACCAUCGGAUGUGCCCAGAUGGGAUUAGCUAGGUGGUGGGGUAAUGGCUCACCAAGGCGACGUUCCCUAGCUGGUCUGAGAGGAGGACCAGCGACACUGGAACUGGGGCACAGUGCAGACUCCUACGGAGGGAAGCAAUGGGGAAUAGUGCAGCGUGGGCGCAAGCCUGAUGCAGCCAUGGCGCGUGUAUGAAGAAGGCCUUCGGGUGGUAAAGUACUUUCAGAGCGGAGGACGGCAUUAAGGUUGAUAACCUUAGUGAUUGAUGUUACUCGUAGAAGAAGCACCGGCUAACUCCGUGCCAUCAGCCGCCGUAA